GAUGAACGCUGGCGGCGUGCCUAAUACAUGCAAGUCGAGCGAACAGACGAGGAGCUUGCUCCUCUGACGUUAGCGGCGGACGGGUGAGUAACACGUGGAUAACCUACCUAUAAGACUGGGAUAACUUCGGGAAACCGGAGCUAAUACCGGAUAAUAUAUUGAACCGCAUGGUUCAAUAGUGAAAGACGGUUUUGCUGUCACUUAUAGAUGGAUCCGCGCCGCAUUAGCUAGUUGGUAAGGUAACGGCUUACCAAGGCAACGAUGCGUAGCCGACCUGAGAGGGUGAUCGGCCACAAUGGAACUGAGACACGGUCCAGACGCCUACGGGAGGCAGCAGUGGGGAAUCUUCCGCAAUGGGCGAAAGCCUGACGGAGCAACGCCGCGUGAGUGAUGAAGGUCUUCGGAUCGUAAAACUCUGUUAUUAGGGAAGAACAAAUGUGUAAGUAACUAUGCACGUCUUGACGGUACCUAAUCAGAAAGCAACGGCUAACUACGUG
rnacentral:rRNA from 1 species